GCCGGGCGUGGUGGUGCACGCCUUUAAUCCCAGCACUCGGGAGGCAGAGGCAGGNGGAUUUCUGAGUUCGAGGCCAGCCUGGUCUACAGAGUGAGUUCCAGGACAGCUAGGCCUACACAGAGAAACCCCGUCUCGAAAAAAACCAAAAAAAAUCAAAUAAUAACAAUAAUAAUAAAAGACAGGGUUUCUCUGUGUAGCAUAGCUGUCUGUUAACUCACUCUGUAGACCAGGCUGACCUCGAACUCUGAGAUUGGACCUACAAUUU
rnacentral:sRNA from 1 species